GGUUGUGGCUCAGUGGUAGAGUGCUCGCCUAGCACAAGGGAGCUCUGGGUUCGAUCCUCAGCACCA
rnacentral:tRNA from 1 species